GACGAACGCUGGCGGCGUGCUUAACACAUGCAAGUCGAACGGUGAAGCGCCUUCCUUUUUGGUGGGUGUGGAUGAGUGGCGAACGGGUGAGUAACACGUGAGUAACCUGCCCCCUUCUUCUGGAUAACCGCAUGAAAGUGUGGCUAAUACGGGAAAUUCUGGGUCUGUCGCAUGAUGGGUCUGGGAAAGAUAUUGUUUCGGUGGGGGAUGGGAUCGCGGCCUUUCUGAGUGUUGGUGGGGUGAGGGUCUGCCAGGGCGGUGAGGGGUAGCCGGCCUGAGAGGGUGGACGGUCACCCGGGGACAGAGACACGGCCCAGACUCCUACGGGAGGCAGCAGUGGGGAAUAGUGCACAGUGGGCGCAAGGCUGAUGCAGCGACGCCGCGUGAGGGAUGGAGGCCUUCGGGUUGUGAACCUCUUUCGCCAGUGAAGCAGGCCUGCCUCGUUUGUGGGUGGGUUGACGGUAGCUGGAGAAGAAGCGCCGGCUAACUACGUG
rnacentral:rRNA from 1 species